rnacentral:tRNA from 1 species
GAGUUAAGGGUGGGAGUUAGAAUCUCCUUUCUUUG